rnacentral:misc_RNA from 1 species
AACGCACGAGACCUGCGGACCUGCGGAAGGAUCAUUACAUGGCGGAGGAGGUGGGCACCUAGUAAAAACAAAACCCUAGGUGUGUUGCCUACCACGCUUUCUACCCUUGUCUAUUUGCACCUUUUGUCGUUCCCUCGGUGGGUCUUGAACCUGCCGGCGGCAACUUUCAAAAACCUUUUGUGGUUAGUAUCUAAUUCUUCUGAUCAAAUAUUCAAUCGUUACAACUUUCAACAAUGGAUC